GUACAUGCCUACAACACAACAUUAAUGCAUUGGAUCCCAUUAGAAAUCCAUAGUUAAGUGCACUCGAGAUAGAGUAGUAUUGGGAUGGGUGACCACCCGAGAAGUCUUAGUGUUUUAUAUG
rfam:Picea glauca, whole genome shotgun sequence.